GAUGAACGCUGGCGGCGUGCUUAACACAUGCAAGUCGAACGAAGCACUCUAUUUGAUUUUCUUCGGAAAUGAAGAUUUUGUGACUGAGUGGCGGACGGGUGAGUAACGCGUGGGUAACCUGCCUCAUACAGGGGGAUAACAGUUGGAAACGACUGCUAAUACCGCAUAAGCGCACAGGAUUGCAUGAUCCGGUGUGAAAAACUCCGGUGGUAUGAGAUGGACCCGCGUCUGAUUAGCCAGUUGGCAGGGUAACGGCCUACCAAAGCGACGAUCAGGAGCCGACCUGAGAGGGUGACCGGCCACAUUGGGACUGAGACACGGCCCAAACUCCUACGGGAGGCAGCAGUGGGGAAUAUUGCACAAUGGGGGAAACCCUGAUGCAGCGACGCCGCGUGAGCGAAGAAGUAUUUCGGUAUGUAAAGCUCUAUCAGCAGGGAAGAAGAAUGACGGUACCUGACUAAGAAGCACCGGCUAAAUACGUGCCAGCCGCCGCCGUAA
rnacentral:rRNA from 1 species